rfam:Candidatus Giovannonibacteria bacterium RIFCSPLOWO2_01_FTLL_45_34 rifcsplowo2_01_scaffold_2225, whole genome shotgun sequence.
CGGGCUGUAGUAUAGUGGCAGUACGCCUGAUUUGGGAUCAGGUGGCCUGAGUUCGAUUCUCAGCAGCCCGA